UACGAAGGGGCUAGCGUUGCUCGGAAUCACUGGGCGUAAAGGGUGCGUAGGCGGGUCUUUAAGUCAGGGGUGAAAUCCUGGAGCUCAACUCCAGAACUGCCUUUGAUACUGAAGAUCUUGAGUUCGGGAGAGGUGAGUGGAACUGCGAGUGUAGAGGUGAAAUUCGUAGAUAUUCGCAAGAACACCAGUGGCGAAGGCGGCUCACUGGCCCGAUACUGACGCUGAGGCACGAAGGCCAGGGAGCAAACGGG
rnacentral:rRNA from 1 species